GGGGAUUUAGCUCAGCGGUAGAGCGCUUGCCUAGGAAGCGCAAGGUCCUGGGUUCGGUCCCCAGCUCCG
rfam:Rattus norvegicus chromosome 1, whole genome shotgun sequence.